CACACAUGGUAUCAACUCCUGCUACAGAAAUAUGAGGGAAUAAAUCAACUCCACCUCUUUAUAUUUCCACUGGGUGGCGCUGUAUCAUGGUAAAAAAAAGUAAUCCAAUCAAAGUGUAAAUUUAUGAUCAUGUUUCCAUCAACAAAACAAACCUGUUCAGACUGUUUGAUCCCAGAGUAUGAGGGAAAAUAUCAAAUAUCCAGAGUCCAGGUCCUGAGCUGAUCUCAGAGCAGGUCAAAGUGCAGCUCCCAGAGUCCUCUCCGCCCGCUGUGAUUGGUCAGUCAGUCUCUCAGUCAGAGACUCACCUCACCCUCACUGCUGCUGCCUCCACCUCUCUGAUCGUCAGGAAACACACGAUCCUCUUCUUAAUCACUCUGACGGAUGUUAUCACCAUCUGAGGAGAGAAAAAAAGACGAUCAGUGUUUCCACUCUGAGACUCACUUCAUCAGCUGGACUGAAGAACAUCCAGUUUACAGACCAGCAGGUCUCAGUCCUGCUCAGACCAGAAGUGAUGGUGUAAAGCAGCAGGUUUCCUCACAAAUAAACCAACAUCAUCAAAAUAAAGAAAUCAUUCCUGUCAAAUGUGUUAAAGCUGAUCGAACAAACCUGCUGUGAAAAUAACAAGUAUAAAGAACAGCUGUCUGUUUUCAGACUUAGAGCUCAAAAUCAACAAGUUAGCAGAGAAAUAAAGUCUGUGUUGAAUACAGAGAACUAUAAACUGGACUUCAGAGCAGAAACUGAACAUUUCUGUUUCAUUAUGUCUCAUUUCUACAUUUGAUCUGAAAUAUAGAGACGAGGAGACACUUUUUUCAUCACUGACACUCUUACACUCCUGGUUUGAUGAUUUCUGUUCUCACAGCUUCACUAAAGAGAUAAUCCUCUGAGAGGGUCGAAGAGUCAGCAGGAAAUACUGAAUAUCUGCUGUGAUACUGUGUGGAGAGGAACAGGAGAGAUCAGCACAGACUAACUCCAACUCUAGACUGACAGCAGAUACUCCAGUAUGUAGUCUGGACUCUUCUGAAGAUCACACAGCAGCUUCUCUCCUGAAUCUUGCAGAUUGUUUUCAGUCAGGUCCAGAUGUCUCAGAUGGGAGGGGUUGGACUUCAGAGCUGAGGCCAGAGAAGAACAGCUGAUCUUCGUCAAACUGCAGCGCCACAACCUAAAUAAAGAGGAAAUAAUGAGAUUUUAGACAAAAAUGAUCCAGUUUGAAACCUGAUGUCUUAAAUCUGUAGAGUUCAGGGGAAAGGUUUGGAAAGUCUGAAUCAAAGAAAAGUGACGCUCCAAAGAGCUGAACCAAACAGGAAGUCAGUUUGAAACAGUGAAUUCAAAAACACAUUAAAUAGUGAAAUAAAAAACUCAGAGACUUUUUUACUGAUUGUAGAUGCAGAUAAAAAAUAUCACGUGUUUGGGAGGUAAAUAUUUCAGUCUAAACACAGCAAGGCUUCAGAAAAGUGCAGAUAAACCAGAAAAUUCAGAUUUUUACACAAAGAUUCAAAAACAAAAUUCAAAGUAACAGAGCUGGACUUUCAUCAGAGUCAGAAACUAAACUCUGAGUUUUUUCUAUUCCCUGAUCUUGUCCUGAACAAAAGUUUGAAUGGUUCUCAUCUGACAAAUCUCCCCCUGCUUCUGUUUUCUGUCUGAAUGUGCUUCUCACUAUGAACUCUACAAAGAGUUUUCCUCUUGGGUUCAGGUUUUAAUUCACUGGAGCUCAGCAGUGAUCUAACUGGAGUCAAUCAAAUAAUCCACUGAUGCAGAAAAUCUACUCUGGACUGAAGGUGUUCAGUCUGGGUCAGUAUUUCAGUCCUGAGUCAGCAGUUUAGUGUCAUCAUCACAAACAAAUCAUGAUCAUGUUUGAAUGGAGGGAAAAAGUCUCACUCUAGAGUCUCCAGUUUACAGUUUGGACUCUGCAGAAAGUCACACAGAAGCUUCACUCCUGAAUCCUGCAGAUCGUUUAAGCUCAGGUCCAGAUGUCUCAGAUGGGAGGGGUUGGACUUCAGAGCUGAGGCCAGAGAAGAACAGCUGAUCUCUGACAAACUGCAUUUAUACAAUCUGAAAAAAGGAAAGAGAAUGAAGAUAAAAAUAAUUAAUAAUCAAACUUCAGGUGUUCAGGUUUAAAAUAUGGAGCUUAGAGAACUCCAACAGGAGACCUUUGGACCAGAUCCAGUCUGUCAGAGCUCAUGAUCUGGUCUGCUCUGACCCUCCAUGUAAAAUAACAGACAAGACAUCAAAUGUGAUGGAGCACUGGUUUGGAUUAGAGGUUCAGGUGAUCAGAAGGUGGAGUCCUUGUUGCAGCAGUUGCUGGUUGGACUCCCAUGAUCCUUUGCUGUAAGUCCUCCCUCACUCUCUACUCCUCGUUUCCUGUUCCUCUUCAGCGCUCGGAUCAAUCAAAGUCUUCAAAAUGAACUUGAACUGUGACAUGGAGGAAACAGGAGGAUCUUUGUCUGCCUUCAUCCCUCACUGUACACUGAUCUUCAACAAGAACACUCAACCCAGAAUAACAGACUGUGUUGUCUCUACUGUCAGAACUGGACCAGACCAGCCAGCAAUCCUCCAGAUCUGAGUUCAUGGAAGUCAGUGACAAACCAGAAAUACUCUCAACCAAGAAGAGCUCAGAGAGAGUCACCCAGGACACUGAGCCCACCUCCCUCAACCAGGCUGGUCUUAAGAGUUUGUAUUGAGCAGAUCCAGCCCAUGUGAAGCUGAACCUGAAUGUGCUCUCAGACUGUAACAUCAGCGCUCUGCCAAACAGAGAAUGGAUGAGACUCUGAUGAGACAGGUCAGCUGACUCUGUCUGCAACAACAUCACCUUUACUGCUUUACUCUUCUCCCUCACCUUCAUCAGGAUCAACAAGGUCAGAGAGCAGACAGAUCCACUCUUCCUCUCACUUUGUCAUUGAUUCACUGAUGGCUGAGUUCACUCACAUUUCAUUUAGUCCACUCUCUAAUCGGGUUUUUACUGCAGGAACCUUUCAAACCAUAUGAGCAGUUAUUGAGCUGCAGAAAAGAGGCAGUGGAGCCAAAACAGGAACCUGAUCAAUCUGAUCAUUGAAUAUUGAUCAGGAGAAAAAUCAAAAUGGUUCAAAUAAUAUUGAGAAGAAGAAAAUCUGAGAGUUUGGUUCUUUAACUUAUUUGGUUCAAUCAUAAAAGUGACGAAGAAAACUUUGUUUUUGUGACUUCAGUCAUCACAGCAAAGAGACGAAGAAGAAAAUCUCUGUUAGUCUGUGUGUCUGUGUCUCUGUGUGUCUGUAUUUGUGUGUCUGUGUCUGUGUCUCUCUGUCUGUGUCUCUCUGUCUGUGUUUGUCUGUCUGUCAGUGUAGAUUCAGGCGUCUGUGUUUCUCACUGUCAGAGCAGAUCUUUCUCGUUUCCUCCUCAUGAAAACUCAAACCUCAUGUUCUGACCGAUUAAACUCAUUUGAUGAAAAAGUGAAUUUUUUUCAGAUUUGGUUUGUUUGGUGUUUUUUUGUGACUCUGAAUUUAUGAAGCAUCAUUAUUACUUUAAUAACUGUGAUGAAAACAAUGAUGCUAGCUGAAGAAACAACAACAAGGAAACUGGGAGCCCAAGUUUAGUCCAUGACUUUAUCCUCAUUAUUGUAAUGUGUCAAAAAGACUAAUAAACACCUGUCACAGUCUGAAAAAAGAAAAAAAUCAUGGAACCUCUGAAGAAACUGUUCCUGUUUUUAAUGAUUCAAUGUUCUUGAGCCCCUGAAGGACACGGAAGAAGAACUUUUUCAGAGUUGAUCUUCAGGAACUUUGUAAAAUCUUCUCUAAACUUUUUGAAGAUCCUGAGGAAUUUAUCAGUCAAGAAAAUUUUAAAGAAACAGAAAACUUUAGUGAGAUCCUGAGAAACUCAUGUGAGAAAUCUCAAAGGUUCUUUUGUAGUCCUGAAUUCUUCAUGAAGAUGAAAACAGUCAGGAGUUUAUUCAGGGGUCUGUCCGUCUGCUGUCAACAACUGCCAAACUACUCUUAAAUAAACCAACAGAUCAUUGAUCAGAGAGGUUUUUAUGGACCAACUGGACAAGAUGAUGUUCAUGUUCAACAAACUGAAGUGAAAACUGCAGACAAAUCUGGAUCUGGUUUUUACAUUUGAACACGACUGAGCAAAGAAGAAAUUCAAGUUUUCAAGAGUUUCCAAAUGAAAUAUCCAGAGUUGGAUUAACUUUGUUCUUCAGGUUUCAAUCUGCAGCUCCUCAUUUCUCUGACACUUCAUUCAUUCAUUAGUGAUCACAUUAACUGUGGAUCAGUUCAGUAUCAGUCUUUAGUCUGUGCUGCUCCUGCCCUCUACAAGCAUGUGUAAUAUUUGUGGACUGAUUUUCUCCUGCUUCCUUUCUACAUCCAUCGUUCUCCUCAAAGUCAACUCUGAAAUGUCGGAUUUUUCUUCCUGUGUUGAAGUUUUACAACGACAAAUUCAAACUGCUCGACCAAAGUUGAUGGAAAAACCACAGAGAAAAAUCUAAGGCAGCAGCUGUCACAUCUUAUUGUUAGAUCAGAAGGAAAUGGUGUCUCACCUCAGAGUCUCCAGUCUGCAGUUUGGACUCUCCAGUCCUGCAGAGAGAAGCUUCACCCCUGAAUCCUUCAGCUCGUUGUUACUCAGGUCCAGAUAUCUCAGAUGGGAGGGGUUGGACUUCAGAGCUGAGGCCACAACUUCACAGUGAGUCUCUGAGAGUCCACAGAGAGAAAAUCUGUAACAACAUAAAUAUCAACAAUAUUUCAUUAAAGGGUAAUUUGAUGUUUCUCCUCACCAAAAACAAACAUGAUCUUUGGUUUGACAGACGGCCUGUUUUUAACCAGACAGAUACUAAUAUCAGGACCACAGCCAUGAGAGAAGACAGGAAGUCAAAGUUUAGAAGAAAAAAAAAACUGUUUUGAUGUUCAAGACAAAUGACUCCAUGACUUAUUUUAGUCAUUCUGUUCUCUAACAGUGUUGUCUUCAUGUUAGUGCAGCUGGAUCAUUAUGAUUGAGUGAAUUCUUGAGUUCUGGUUGGAGAAGGGGACUGAGAACCAGGUUUUUGGUCCUGGUAUGUGAUUGGUCAGUAUCCAAAGUACCUCUUGGAGAAUCAGUGCUCCUCUCAGUGUUUAAUGUUGACAUCCUGCUGUAAUGUAAGUCUUUCCAUAGACACUGACUGUUGACCAAUCAGAGGACGACUCACUAAAUCACAGCAGCUCCUGUUUCUCUGAUUGGUUCAGAUAAAAACAUUUUUUAGCAGGUUAGAGCUGGUUUGACUCUGAACAUUUGAAGAAUUCAAAAUUUCUUUGUUUUCACAAUGAAAGUUUUUUCUCCAUGUAACUCUAGGGGGCGUACAUUCCCAUGAUUCCUAUAAAAAUAACAUUGAAUUUUUCUAGUUUGUGUGUUUGAUGCAGAAAGAAACAUCUGGAGUCAGAAGAAAUAAAAGAGAUUCAUCUUUGAACAUGUUUUCUUCUCUUUUUUAAAUGUUUGCACUAAAUCAUGAAGUGAGGUAUCAAUAAUGAGUCCUGAUAAUACCAACAUGGAGGAUCAAUAUGGGUACCUGUAUUAAUUCAACCUAAUCACAGCCAUGCUAGUUAUGACCAAAAACAGACUUUUCUGCUCCCUAAAAGAGUCCUUGUUAGUCCUUUAGACCUGGUUCAGUCUCUCAGACUCAGACCUGGAUCAAACCCCAGUCUGCUGCAGUGUUUGUUUACAGGCUGUUUCAGCAGAAGGCAGCAGUCUGACCAAUUUACAUCAACAUCUGAAACAGAGGCGUGCAGCCGAGUUACAGCCCACCAACAUCUCAACAUGAGAGGAAUCAUCUUCACUCUGCAUCACCAUGACAACAAAGGGACAACAUGGAAAACUGAUGAUGAUGAUGAUGAUGAUGAUGCAGUCACACUGCUUCUCCUUAGAGACAUGGUGUCCAUAUAUACAGUGGAAGAGCACGGCUGUUUUCACAUGCUAUGAGGUGUUAUGAGGCAGACUAGUGUAAGUGCCAACCUGCAGCACCGUGGGCAGAGAGAGAGAGACAGAGAGAGAGAGAGAGAGUGAGAGAGAGAGAGAGAGAGAGAGAGAGAGAGAGAGAGACAUUAACAUCCUAUCUCCACCACUUUUUUCAGACUCAUGGAGCUGCUGUCCAAAUACCUCCUGUGUUCUCAUCAUUCAUAUGUUCUAGUCCAGCAGAUAAUCUCCAGUGAGUGGUGGAAAAUGAUGUUAGUUUUCAUGGUUGUAUUGAUUAUGAAUACUGAAUGAUGAACAUGAUGGUACAGAGACAGUUCUGACACUGUGUAGAAAAUGAUCCAGUUCUAUUUUCACCAUCAAUGCUGUCAACACCCUCAUUUACAACAGAUUCAUCAUUUCCAACCUGAAAACCAGCAGGAAGAAGCUGCAGACACCUUCUUCAAACUCAAGUUCACCACAACUGACUGAGAUGUUGAUCUGGACUGAUACCAUCAUCAGAAGACCUCUGUGUGUCCUCAGAUAUGGUCGCUGAUUUGUCCUCAAAGUUCCACUUUAUUCAUUACAGACACGAUUCAAAACAAAGAGGUCCUCCACAAUCAGGACAAGUUCUCAGGGGUCCACAGGUAGACCUCAUCCUGGGCUAACAGGACUUUAGACACCAGGAUCAUGUUUUUGCUAAAGAAACCCCCUCCCUGAUAUUUGAUUUCUAUUUGAAGAAGAACAUCAUCAGUAACGUGGACAUUAGAAGAACUACAGGGAUCAUUUACACUUUUCUGAGAAUAAAACCUGGACUCACACAGCCUUUCUGCAGUUCCUCACAGCUGGGAUCAGUCUCAGUCGUCCCUGGUCUGAUGUUUUAUAAUUCUUUAAGUCCAACUCCUCCAGAACCUCCUCUGACAUCUGUAGCAUGUAGGCCAGAGCAGAGCAGUGGAUCUCUGAGAGUUCCUUCUCUGAUCUGUUCUUUGACUUCAGGAACUCUUGAAUCUCCUGAUGAACUGACAGAUCGUUCAUCUCCAUCAGACAGUGGAAGAUGUUGAUGCUUCUGUCAGGAGAGAUAUCUUCACUGUUCAUCUCCUUCAGAUUGUUGAUGACUGUUUGGAUCAUUUCUGGACUGUUGUCUGUGUGACCCAGCAGAACUCCUAAGAGUCUCUGGUUUGACUCCACAGAGAGUCCAUGAAGGAAGCGAACAAACAGGUCCAGGUGACCGUUUUUACUGACAAGGGAUUUCAUCAUGACACUCUUCAGGAAGACAUCCUGAGAUGAGAAAAAAUAAUCCAGGUUUUGAAAAAAUCUGUCAACCAUCUCUGAAGAAGACAUUUUAUCUUCAUCAUCGUUGCUUCUUAGGAAAGUCUUCAGAGCUUCUGUGUUCCUGUUUGUGAAACUGUGGAUCAUGUAGACUGCAGACAGAAACUCCUGAACGCUCAGAUGAACAAAACAGUAAACAGUUUUCUGGAAGAUCACACUCUCUCUUCUGAAGAUCUCUGUACAAACUCCUGAGUACACCGAGGCCUCUGAGACAUCCAGACCACACCGCUCCAGGUCUUCUUGGUAGAACAUGAUGUUUCCUCUGUUCAGAUGUUCCAAUGCCAGCCUCCCCAGCUUCAGGAGGACGUCACUGUCAGCAUCCAUCAGUGCCUGAGGACUUGUCUCAUGUCCUCCUCCAUACUUCUGCUUCUUCCUCUUAGUCUGGACCAGCAGGAAGUGUGAGUACAUGUCAGUCAGGGUCUUGGGCAGCUCUCCUCUCUGCUCUCUGAUCAUCAUGUCCUCCAGAACUGUCGCAGUGAUCCAGCAGAAGACCGGGAUCUGACACAUGAUGUGGAGGCUCCUGGAGGACUUGAUGUGUGAGAUGAUUCUUCUGGACAGAUCUUCAUCUGUGAACCUCUUCCUGAAGUACUCGUCCUUCUGGGUGUCAUUGAAGCCUCGUACUUCUGUUAUCCUGUCCACACGUGAAGGAGGGAUCUGAUUGGCUGCUGCAGGUCGAGAAGUUAUCCAGAUGAGAGCUGAGGGGAGCAGGUUCCCCUUGAUGAGGUUUGUUAACAGAACGUUGAGUGAAGACUUCUGUGUGACGUCAGACACCACCUCAGAGUCUGUGAAAUCCAGAGACAGUCUGCUUUCAUCCAGACCGUCAAAGAUGAACAGAAGUUUACAGACAGCCAGCGUCUCUGCUGUGACCUUCUCUAGUGUUGGAUGGAAAACAUGGAGCAGACUCAGAAGACUGAAGCGCUCUUCUCUGAUCAGGUUCAGCUCCCUGAAUGAAAGCAGGACCACCAGAUGGAGGUCUUUGUUCUCCAAACCCUCUGCCCAGUCCAGAGUGAACUUCUGCACUGAGAAGGUUUUUCCAACACCAGCCACGCCGUUGGUCAGAACCACUCUGAUGAGCUUCUUCUGUUGGUCAGGUAAGGUUUUAAAGAUCUCAUGACACUUGAUGGGCAUGUCAUGGAGGGUCUUCAUCUUUGAAGUUUUCUCCAGCUGUCUCACCUCAUGUUGGGUGUUCACCUCUUCACUCAGUCCCUCUGUGAUGUAGAGCUCAGUGAAGAUCCUGUUGAGGAGGGUUUGACUACUUCCUGUUUCAUCACUUCCUUCAUUCACACGUUCACAUCUCCUCUUCAGACUGAUCUUAUGUUCAUCUAAAACCUCCUGCGGGAGGCCAUCUUCUGAAAGAGAAGAAAAAUAAAAUGAACCAAACUUCUCAACACUGAAACGUCUUUGUGAAAAUCAGUCAGCUGAGUUUUCAUCCACACAGACUUUUCCUCACAGUCCGUCGGCGCCGACACCUUUUGCACAGGCGCUCUUUAAAUUACCGUAACUGUGGGAAAGUUUGUGCUGUCAAAAAAACUCCAACGGUUUCUGAAAGGUGAGAAGUUGCGCCACACAGCCAAUAAACGGUUAUUACGGUAAUAACCCUCCUGCUGUUUAGGGAAGUGAGAAAACCUGUCUCUCCGUCCCCUCUCCCCCUCUCAAAGAAAGCAGCGGAUAGACACACAACAGAGCAGAGAAACGGAGCAAAAAGAGAGAAAAGUGACAAAAAAGGGAUUAUUUCAAAGGAAAAUGUCUGUGAUAAAUCCUUCCUGAGUGAGAAAACCUACACUGAGGUUUUCAGACGACUUUGGUACCGAUGGAGAAGCUUUCAGAGCAACUUCAGACAGAGAAAGGUAAAGUUUGACUGGUUGAUUUUCUGUGUUGGUCUCUGGAUGAUUGAAGCGCUCUCUGUGUCGUUUUUAGUUUAUUUACGUUAUUUUAUGAGUAAAUCAACACUUAUAACCUGUUGUGACUUUAUUAGAAUACCAUGCUAAGGCAGUGAGUUUGUAGUAACGUGUGCCCAUUAAGACAGCACGAUAUUAGAAAACACUAACAUUAAAAAGUUGUUCAACCCUGUGAUAUAUAUAAUCGAUAUUAAAAAAUAGAGGAAUUUUCCUCAGAUGAUCUGAAUCUGACUUUCUGCUGAAAUCUUGAGGACAGUUAACCUGCACUGAUCUUCCCUCUUUUAGUGCAUGUUAGUAGAAUGGCUUCUGUCUGUCUUAGAGAUAUUUUUAGUUUUUAUUGUUCUGCUGGGACGUUAUUGUGGAAACAGAUGAAAGGCCCUGCCGACACAGAACAGGUGUUAGGUGACGUCAUCCUUUUUGUAACCGAAAUAAUUACAGAUAAGUGACGUGGCUUUUCUUUUAAUCAACGAGUCUUCAUCUUCUAUGGUUAGUGACGUUCUUUUUAUCAACGAGUAUUCAUCUUCAAUGGUUAGUGACGUGGCUUCUCUUUUUACCAACAAGUCUUCAUCUUCGGCGGUUUUCUCUUGUCGGUUUCUCAUUUUGCAACCGUUGAUGUUGUACCGAGAAACACAUGCCAACCGAGAAUUACAUCCACUUCGCAGAAAUGCUCACCGUUUAUAGUAGAGUAUAGCUACGUGCCCAAACAAGCCAUGGACAGCUGAAGUCUCAAAGAACCGGCAUGAGGAGACGACGCUGCAAACUUUGUCAUAAGGAGAACUGCCUGGAAGUGUGAGGGGUGUGAUGUGGGUCUGUGUCUGCAGACAGAAAGGAACAGCUUCUGACAGUUUCACAAAGACCUCUGAGUGAGAGAGGAGAAACGAGGAGAAACGCGUGGACACAGUUGUAUUUAUUCAGCCUGUUUUUGCACUUGGAGAGACAGUACUCCAAAGUUUUUGUUGUAAAUAUGUUUGAUACUCUUUAAUUUUUUUUUAUUUCAAAUGAAAAAUCUGUUUUUCAUGAAUAUUUUCUGUUUUUUCUCAUUAAAACUCAAAAAAUCGUAUUCCGUUUUUGUGUUUUUCUUUAUCUUACAAUGUUAAAGUUUUUUAACAGACAGUAAAUCGUAAAUGACAGCCAGAUAUUGAAAGUUUUAAGUGCUCUGGAAAAAUGGGUAAAACUCAACUUUAUUUGUAAAGCACUUUAAAACAACCACAGCCAACCAAAGUGCUGUACAUAAAUAGACAAAAAAGCAUAGACAUAAAAAAACAAUUAAAACAGUGGAAAAAAUAAAAGCAGAUAUUAAAAAAGUAAAAUAGAGUUAAAAUAAUUUUAAAAACUAAUUUAAAAACAUAGAAACAAAUAACUAAAAACAAACCAUAAAACACUAAAACAGGAGCCGAGUCUCAUGCAGGGUUGAAAGCCAAUGAAUAAAAAAGCACUCACUCAUAAGACAUUUUCUGCCAAUUUUAUGGCUAAAAUAAGCAAAAUAAUUCAGGCAGAAAUUGUAUAAUUUAGGGUUUAAAGGUGUUCAGACUUACUUCGAUCAGAGCUGGACUGGCUGUCUGUCUGAAAGACAAGAACUGUUCUGGUUCUUUUUCCACACUGGGGACAGGAGGUGUAUCCUGAAGAAGUAGACUGGUGUCCACAGCGGGUAGAGACUGGAUCCUUCAGGACAUCCUGACAUAAAGAACAUUUGGACAGCUGCUCCUCCACAGAGUCACAUCUCUGUGUCUCUCUGUGGAAAUAAAGAACAUUUCUUUUCUUUAUUAUUUCAUGUUUGAAAGAUACAGAAUAAGAAACAUUUAUUAAACCAGAGUUUCUCUUUUCUCUAACAUAAAACAAUCUCCUGUAAAAUAUUCAGCUGCUGCUGCCUGAAAGUGUCAUGACAAGAGAAAAAAACUAAACUUUGAUUUUUGAAGGUAGAGAGAUUUUCUCUGACAGUUUAAAACUUUUUUUUUGACCAAUCAGAUCUAAAGGUCUAAUAACAGAAAGAUGCUCUGAAUGAGUUUUUAUUUUUCAGGAUUUAUUUCUUCUUUAGUCUUCUGGUAUUUUGUGACCCACAGACUGUUUUCUGGGGUCUAUACACCACAGUCCAAAGACUAACAGGCUCAAAACGUCCCAAACACAGGAACCAAAUCAGAAAAUACGAGAGGUCAGAAUCCUUUUCAAAUGCUGUUUUAUAUGCCCUUCAUUUUUAUAAACAUCAAGAAUAAUAAGUAAAUCUGUGCUCAGUGACUUUUUCUUUACCAGCCUUUUAUCCAUUACAAGAUUUAAUUCAAGAUCAUCUUUCUAUCAUCUCAAAAAUAUCUCCAAACUGAGGGGCUUUCUGUCAAAAUCAGACUUAGAAAAAUUCAUCCAUGCAUUUAUAAGAAGUAAACUGGAUUACUGUAACAGUUUAUUCACUGGACUCCCAAAAUCAAGUCUUCAGAGGUUACAGUUAAUUCAAAAUGCAGCUGCAUGUAUUCUCACUGGUACCAAAAAAUAUCAACACAUCACACCCGUUCUCAAAUCUGUACAUUGGUUACCCGUUAGGACAAGAAUCGAUUUCAAAAUACUCCUCCUGGUUUACAAAGCACUACAUGGCCUUACACCUCAGUACAUCACAGAUAUGCUCAUCACCUACACCCCAGCAAGAACACUUCGGUCAACAGGCAGUGGCAACUUACUCAUCCCUCACACCAGAUCCAAAUAAGGGGAGGCAGCUUUGAGUGUUUAUGCCCCACAAAAAUGGAACACCCUGCCUGACACAGUUAGACACAUCAGUAGCCAUCUUUAAAAACAGGUUUCUAUAGCAUUCUUUUAAACUGUGUGUGUAUGUGUGUACGUGUGCACGUGUCCAUGUGUGAGUGCGUGCGCAUGUACGAGUUUAAGUGUGCAUGCAGUGAAGUUGACUUGCACUUACACUCUUACAUUGAUUUCUAAUUGAUUUUUGUAUAACUGUUUUUAACUAUGUACACCUGUUGUGAAGCACAUUGAGUCUGCCUUGUACAUGAAAUGGGCUUUAUAAAUAAAGUUGAAUUGAAUUGAAUUUUAUCCAGGUUGGCAGGUUCAAGAGGAAAAUCAGUGUUUUGAGAACAGAGGAGAAAACAGAGGGGUCAGGAUUUAAAGUUUUGUAUUUGAAACAUCAGAUGUUGUUUGAGAGUUUGGUGAUUGAAAAGUGUUUCUCUUACUGUGAAUCUGAGGGUCCUGGUUCUUCACUGAAUUUUGGUGGAGGAUCUUUAGACCGGUCACUCUUCAUAGACAGACAGCUGGAGAUAACAGACUUUGUUCUGUCCUCCUCUGGGGGUCCUGGUUCUUCACUGAAGACCGGUGGAGGAUCUUUAGACCGGUCACUCUUCAUAGACAGACAGCUGGAGAUAACAGACUUUGUUCUGUCCUCCUCUGGGGGUCCUGGUUCUUUACUGAAGACCAGGUGGAGGAUCUUUAGACCGGUCACUCUUCAUAGACAGACAGUCAAACAUAUCAGACUCUGCUCUGCCCUCCUCUUCCUCGACACAAACACUCAUCUUCUCCAUCUUCUGUUGUGCAAAUUUAUGGAGGCUGAAACCGAGUUAUACAACCUGAGGACAAAGAAGACAAACAGGUGAGACACAAACAGGAAGAGAGAGUUCAGAAAUAAAAGAGGAAUCAGAAAGGAAGUACAGAGUCUGAAAACAGCUUCAUCCCCCUCUUUAAGAGUUAUACAGGUUUAAUAUCCAAGAACUUCUGAUGUCUCCCCACCCUGCAGGGCCUCUCUCUGAUCCUUGUCUGAUUCAUGGUCAAAACAAAAUCAGCUGUGAGGUCCCUGAACUCUCAGAAAAAAACUUAAGGAGACUGGAUUAAAUUUGAAAUGAGACGCUAAAAAGAUUCUGAUUAAUAUUUUUACCAAAAAGACAAGUCUAAACAAAGAGGAGGAAGAACUGCACGUACACAGCUUCCUGUAUGAAGAACUGAUCCAGCUCUUUGUCUGCUCUGGUUUCUUUGUUUUGCAGUUUUUAAGUGUUUUAGUCAGUAAAUCAUUUUUUCAUUAACAGAUAAAACAGAUAAAGAGUUUGACAUUAAAACUAAAACAGAGUAAACACUCACCCUGUCUCCUCGUCCUCUCCUCUCUCUUCUUUUCUCAAAAUGGAGUCUGUUUUUCAGCUCACAUACUUUCACUUUCACUCUGACUGUUUUCACUGAAACCUAAACCACCAGAUCACAGAUUCUUCUCCUCAUUUACUGACAGUUUUUCAUCAUCUUUUAAGUUCAGUAUUCUUGACAGCCACCUUCCUCUCCUGAGUCCAAAGUAAAAGUUCACUAAAACAGGAACUUGUUUGGUUGGUUGAGUCUCAGUUUAUUGUUAAUGCAGCAGCUCCACCUGCUGGUCAAACCAACAAACUUCAGAUGAGCACUCCUCUUCUCAUACCCCAACUAAAUGUGAAUAUUUGGUUGAACAGGUUUUUAUUUCUGCACACAGUGUGAUUGUGUUGUCACUACACAAACUCCUCCUUCACCUCACUUUACAAAGAUCACUGUCCAACAUUAUAUUCAGUGUAGGAGCCAAAUAUGUUGAUGUGAUAACACAAGUUCACGUUGUAUGCUUUAGGUAUCUCUGUCCUGUUAUCUGGGGCUCAGAAAUAAAGGUCGGCAAACCCGGACGUGUUUGUUUUUUUUUUUCGUGGGAUGGUAGGGAAAGGUCCCACCCUCCUUCGCAUCUGAUUGGCUAGAAGUGCUAGGCUCCGAUUGGUUAUUCCUUAUGGCUGUGAAACGUCAUAGCAAACAUGAACCCCCUAAUAACUUUUAAAAAUGGAGCUUCACAGAAAAAAGAGGACUUGAGCACAAACCAGUCUGACAAUAACUACAUGUCAACAUCACAACCAGGAGGGAGAAAAAAUUAUGUUCUGUGUAAUAAAUUUCUAAAGUUCGUCCACAGCUCCAUAAGCUUUGCUGGCGCAGGCGGGAUUUAUGACCUAUACUGCAGCCCAUCAACAGAGGGUGCUGUUCUCAGAGUGGCUUCACCCAGCGAGGAGGCAGACUCUGUCCAUUCUAUAUACAGUCUCUGGUUUUUCUUCUUUUGCUUUAGUAACCCCUUUUCAGAUUUCUGGAUCAAAGUACCCCCGAUAAAAGACGACCACCUGUUGCUUAGAAAACUAAAUCCAGGAUAUCGUUGAUGUCAUGCAGAAAUCUCCUAUCUUUAUAUUUUACCUUCUUUGUUAGAUGUGUGGAUUUGUCCUCCACAUACUUUAAAUGAACAAUAACCCACCUUAGAGAGAAUAUCACAAAUGAAAACACAUGAAACAACUGUGCUGCACCCUGAUGAUAAAACCUUCCUCUACUUUUCAGACUCACUUUGAGGACUUUUUAAAGACCAAAUCUAGUUUCUGUUUGAAUGAAAAAUAAUAAUAAUCAAUUGCACACAGUGAAUGAAACGAGCCGAGUUGACGUUUUUAACAUGUUUUGGUUCAAAUAAAGUUUUUAUUAUCUUUAAAUGGCAUUGUUACAGUGAAAUGAAAUAAAAAAUGAUCUGGUGUAAAUGAAGAACCAACAUAGUGUUACACAGACAGAGCACAGAUCUAUUGAUAGUAGAUAAACUGAAGAGGACAAAUCUGUUUACAAUAGUUCUAUGUUUUAUGUGUCUGUAGUGUGAGCAGACUGUGGCAUGAGCUGUCCUGACUUCUGAUUGGACCUUUACAGGUCAGCUGAUGGCAGAUACAGCCUCUGAUUGGCUAACAACAGAAAUGACACUUUGUUACUGAAAUGAAUCCAUAAACCAUCAGAUUAUUUUUAUUUUGGAGGGAUGGGAUCAGGAAGGUCUCUGGAAACACACCGAUCUUCUCUGUGGGAUAGAAAAGCUUUGGAGUGUCACAGAAACACAAACUGAUCUCCUGAAAGCUGACGGUCUCACAAAGCCAGUGGAUUUUACAGGAAGUCACUCCACUGUAGCAUCAGUUUAUGAAGCUGAGAUUGUAAUCAACAACACUGAGUUUAUAAAACAGCAUCGACCACAUUAAUGACUUCACCCUGAAUAGAUGCUGAUCUCACUUUUUCCAGACUCCAGUCAAUACGGUUAUUUUUGUCUGUCAGAGGAAAACUUCUCCAUCAUAAAAAAGUAAAAAUUAUGUUUUUGUUUUUGUUCAAGAAUAUUUCCUUUGACUGAUUAUAUUUCACACAUUUUAAUUUUACUCUCAGGUCUCAUUUAUGGUUUAAUAAUUGUAUUUGUUCAAACAGGAGGGAAUCGAUUAUUGAUGAGCACAAAGAUGAUAUGAGAACAAAAACAUGUAAAGAGACGGAAAAUAGUGUCUAAUAAUAUUAAAUAAGAUAAAUUUACCUCCAGUCAAUAUUUACCAUCAUUUCAGAAAAUGAAGAAGAAAACGGAUGAAUAAAAAUAAUCAAGUGAAAGAAUAAAGCUUCAGAUUUUUGUUAAAACCCCAAACCCUGUCCUCCUCCUCCCUUCACCUCCAUCUCUCCUCACUUCUCUUCCUCUCCCUUCAGUUUAUAUUCGGUCUCUAACGGUGCAAAGGAAAGAAAAAACCUUUGGGUUUAAUCAGAACUUCUGACUGAUCUACUCUCACACAUGGUAUCAACUCCUGCUGCAGAAAUAUGAGGGAAUAAAUCAACUCCACCUCUUUAUAUUUCCACUGGGUGGCGCUGCAUCAUGGUGAAAACAAAGUAAUCCAAUCAAAGUGUAAAUUUAUGAUCAUGUUUCCAUCAACAAAACAAACCUGUUCAGACUGUUUGAUCCCAGAAUAUGAGGGAAAAGAUCAAAUAUCCAGAGUCCAGGUCCUGAGCUGAUCUCAGAGCAGGUCAAAGUGCAGCUCCCAGAGUCCUCUCCGCCCGCUGUGAUUGGUCAGUCAGUCUCUCAGUCAGAGACUCACCUCACCCUCACUGCUGCUGCCUCCACCUCUCUGAUCGUCAGGAAACACAUGAUCCUCU